rnacentral:rRNA from 1 species
UGGGGAAUUUUGGACAAUGGGCGAAAGCCUGAUCCAGCAAUGCCGCGUGUGUGAAGAAGGCCUUCGGGUUGUAAAGCACUUUUGUCCGGAAAGAAAUCCUUGGCUCUAAUACAGUCGGGGGAUGACGGUACCGGAAGAAUAAGCACCGGCUAACUACGUGCCAGCAGCCGCGGUAAUACGUAGGGUGCAAGCGUUAAUCGGAAUUACUGGGCGUAAAGCGUGCGCAGGCGGUUUGCUAAGACCGAUGUGAAAUCCCCGGGCUCAACCUGGGAACUGCAUUGGUGACUGGCAGGCUAGAGUAUGGCAGAGGGGGGUAGAAUUCCACGUGUAGCAGUGAAAUGCGUAGAGAUGUGGAGGAAUACCGAUGGCGAAGGCAGCCCCCUGGGCCAAAUACUGACGCUCAUGCACGAAAGCGUGGGGAGCAAACAGGAUUAGAUACCCUGGUAGUCCACGCCCUAAAACGAUGUCAACUAGUUGUUGGGGAUUCAUUUCCUUAGUAACGUAGCUAACGCGUGAAGUUGACCGCCUGGGGAGUACGGUCGCAAGAUUAAAACUUAAAUGAAUUGACGGGGUCAUGCUG